AAAAAUACAAACCAUGAGUUUCCGUGUCCAACUUUAACUGUUCGUCUUAUAUGAAAUUUUUUUAUAAUUCGUAUUUUCAUUGUUGUUAGAUGAUAAAAUAUGAUUAAUAUUUUAUGCGUGACUUGUCUUUUUAAUUUUUUUUAUAAUUUUUUCAAAUAAGACGGACGGUUAAACGUUGAGCACGGAAACCAGGGUUUGUCUUUUU
rfam:Oryza sativa (indica cultivar-group) chromosome 1, whole genome shotgun sequence.